rnacentral:rRNA from 1 species
CCAUGCUGAAUAUACCGGUUCUCGUUAGAUCACCGAAGUCAAACAUCAUUGGGCUCGGUCAGUACUUGGGUGGGUAACCACCUGGGAACACCGCGUGCUGUUG